GUAACACGUGGGUAACCUGCCCAUAAGACUGGGAUAACUCCGGGAAACCGGGGCUAAUACCGGAUAAUAUUUUGAACUGCAUGGUUCGAAAUUGAAAGGUGGCUUCGGCUGUCACUUAUGGAUGGACCCGCGUCGCAUUAGCUAGUUGGUGAGGUAACGGCUCACCAAGGCAACGAUGCGUAGCCAACCUGAGAGGGUGAUCGGCCACACUGGGACUGAGCCAGGGCCAAACCUUCUACGGGAGGCAGCAGUAGGGAAUCUUCCGCAAUGGACGAAAGUCUGACGGAGCAACGCCGCGUGAGUGAUGAAGGCUUUCGGGUCGUAAAACUCUGUUGUUAGGGAAGAACAAGUGCUAGUUGAAUAAGCUGGCACCUUGACGGUACCUAACCAGAAAGCCACGGCUAACUACGUGCCAGCAGCCGCGGUAAUACGUAGGUGGCAAGCGUUAUCCGGAAUUAUUGGGCGUAAAGCGCGCGCAGGUGGUUUCUUAAGUCUGAUGUGAAAGCCCACGGCUCAACCGUGGAGGGUCAUUGGAAACUGGGAGACUUGAGUGCAGAAGAGGAAAGUGGAAUUCCAUGUGUAGCGGUGAAAUGCGUAGAGAUAUGGAGGAACACCAGUGGCGAAGGCGACUUUCUGGUCUGUAACUGACA
rnacentral:rRNA from 1 species